rnacentral:tRNA from 100 species
UCUGGGACGGAAGGACUCGAACCUCC